AAAUUAACCACCUCGCUAGUAGUUUUCGGUAUAUUCUUUGCUCAGUCAACUUUCUGUAGAAACCACUCCCAAACAGACAAAAGGCAAUUUGCCAGCAGACUACAUUAAAAGCCCAUUACAAGCUAGUUGCGUGUCCGCAGGUCCACGCUACUGGCAAACAUCGGAGUUAACAUCCAGGACAAACGACAAUGCGCCUAGCGUGAGGCGAAGACCACACCACAGCGGAGUAAUAAGAUUAGUCCUUGUUGUUAGCAUCAGCCAAGUCGAACGUGCCUGCCUGUCAGCAUUACCAGAUUGGGAGGAACUCAGAACCGAAUUGUCCGGGGAUGAAAAAUGGUGGCGUUUUUAUGUAUAGCAUAAAAUUGCUCGCCCCCUCAUA